GAAUUUGCAGCGAGCACAUACUCUACAAGCUGCGAUUAGGCGAAUAUAUUGCAACUUUUCCCUUUAUUGAUUGCUGCAAUUAAGUACAUUCGCAACUUCCCCCUGUAUAAUCUAUAUUAAUUGGUUGCAAUUAGAAACAUUCAUGCUGCUAUCUUCUCGACCAGUACAUUCUCACUUUAGAUCUAGAUCUAGAAUUCCCAAAAAAAGCACAGUCCAUGGUUUAAGAAUCUCCAUAGCUCGGAUCAACAAUUCUCAAUCGCCAAUAUAUGCUCCCUUCUACACAAAUCUCACCGCAAAUAUCUCAUCGUUGUGCCGCCACCGGAAAGUUUUUCCUACUCGCUCCUUUGCAACUCUCACUGUCGGUAACUACCUUCCUCUUCAUCUUUGUUCCUUCGCCAGCCAUAACACGCGUUUAUGAGAUAGGGAAACUUGUAGUGUUUCGACUUUGUGUCAAAUCGUCAUUCAUGGAUACAGAGAAAUAAAGGUGGGGCGGAAGAGAGAGAAAGACGCCGAAGUCCUAUUAUGCUCGUUGUUUUACCUUCACAUCGUCGAUUGUGUUCAUUUCAGGUUUCACAAGUACUAACCAAUAUCCCCGUGAAUUGCGUAUUGGGUUCGUGCGUACUGAUACGGUUGAGUUGUUUCGGGAUAAUUUAAUUAGGUUGAAAGAUUGAAUGGCGCAAUAUCUCACAUAUAUCUGAAGCUACAGGUUGGAAAGAGAUGCUUUGCCUCUUUUUAGAAUGUCGAGGCAGAAUUUCAAGAUCCUGCAUUUGAUGAGGUUUGUCAUUCUACACAUUAGUAAAGACGUUACGUGAGUUUUUGGACCCAUUGGUGAGCUCGUAGAAGGCUUACGACACGGUCUCUGGAUGAUACAGAACUCAACCAAGUGAAGGCUGAAAGCAACCAUGAUAUGAAGAAAUCAUUAACUUGGUGGGAUCUUACUUGGUUCGGUAUUGGUGUUGUCAUUGGUGCUGGUAUCUUUGUACUUACUUCUCUCUGUUUUAUGUUACACCGAGUUUGCUGUUGAGAUUCCUGUUGCAGGGUUAUGUACAAAGAGAAAUGCCAUACUCUAAUGAGGAGUUUGAAGAAACUCGAGAACAUUGGGCAAAGUAUUUUAAGGACAACUAUUUGAUGGAUGCCGGCGAAUGAGUUUGUUGUCUAGUAAUGUUAUGUUUUAUGUUUUUGUUAUGUGUUGGAUAUGACGUUUGAUGCUACUUGGAGCAUAUAUAUGGUUUUUGGAACAUAUAUGUAUGUUAUGUCUUA